CUCCCUAAAAGUCACCAGCUUGCUUGUGACUGUGGUAAUUUUCCCAUCCUUCAAUUAGUUUUUUCUCAAGUACUGGAACUUGAGUGAAUUGAAAAUGGAGAGUUUUGAAUGAGAUUCUAAAACCUCCUGAUUAUGUUGCAAACUUUCUUAAUGCUAAAGCAAUGACUAGGCUGAAGCUGCUUACCUCUCAAGGAUCGGUGUGAAUUUAUGAGGGAGGAGUUAAGAAAGGCACCUCGUUUUAUCAACAUCAUCCACCCAACGGUGGCCAGAGGCACAGCUGUCAUUGAACAAGACUGAAAAUCGAGGGGUGUCUGGAAGCCAGCGGAGGAGAGAGCCCUGCGGUGUGUAGCUGCCUAUACCUUGUCAAACAGGCUUCCUCCAAUCAUGAGCCUUAUUGUUACUGACGUCAGUUGAUGCUAUAAUUGGAUAUGGAGAUGGAGAGUGCGCAGAUGCAAUAGGGAUUGAAGCGUUCUGAGCCCAUGAAGAUGUCAAAAAAUAAAAAGAUAAAUACUGGCAAAAUAAAAGAGAGAGAAACAUUGAUGUGAGAGAGACAUAUGGAUUGGUUGCCUCCUGACCGGGGCAAGGGAUCAAAUCUGAAACUCAGGGAAUCUGUCCUAAGAGCGUUUCUCCUUGUCGUCUCUCAGUGAUGACGGGUCUGAGGCUUCUACCUCUCACCCAUGGGGUUGAGCUUCAGGCUACAAAAGUGCUCAGACACAGAUGGUAUUCUCUCCUCAGCAACAGGGUCCUGUCAUCCCUGCUGCAGUCACCUGACCCCUUUUGACGUCGCCCUGUGCAAGGAACAGAGGCAGCUGGCACCUGGGACUAGACUUACUUUCAUUGUCUAUGUUUCAUCUGCAUAUUAGUCUUCCUCCUCCUCCUCCUCCUGUGCUUAAAGUCAGGGGCCCACAUGAACUCCGGCCUGUGGUUGUGCCAGCGAGCACCCAGAUGCGGGAACCAGAUGUACAACCCCACGGAGAAAUGCUGUGAUCAUGACACCAUCCUGCCCUUCAACCGGACCAACCUCUGUGGCCUCGGCUGCAGGUUCUGGCCCUGCUUUGAGCUCUGCUGUCCCGAGUCCUUUGGCCCCCAGAAGAGAUUUGUUGUGAGACUGAAGGUUCUAGGCAUGAAGUCACAGUGCCUUACCUCUCCCAUCUCCAGAUUCUGUCCCACUGUAUGAGGGACAACCUGGACAUCCUAUUGGAACCUUGGAACAUCUGGCUAAAAGCACGCACCCUAACAUAUGAGAAGAAAUGGGUGGGUGGUAUGGUUUUCAAAUGAUAAAACCGUGUCCUAGAUUCUGGUGAGGUUAGAUGUGUUCUUUCUGAAUUUCCUGUGGCAACUUGCUGAGCAAUGAUUACACAGGAACUUCUCUCUGCUCCUAAAGCCCCCCUGCCCACAGCAAUCAGUGUGUCCUCAGUCAGCCUAAGUGUCCUCUCUCUCCUCUGCGUCAGGAUUCUUCUCUCUUCAAGGGGACAAGGAGUGAGGCUGGGGAGGUGGAUAUUCCUCCCUGUGGGGGAGAGGACCCAGCCCCAGAGCCACCUCGUGGUUCCUGCACCUGCAGCUCCUGUGGGAGGUGGGGAGGAUGGAAGCUGCCCGGAGGAGCGGGAGCAUUGCUGGGUUAAAUGAUAAACAUCUAAAUAUUUUUAAAUAGUAUACAAUACUCAAACAUUGAUUGCUAGACACAAUUUAAUUCGCCUGCUCUUAGUUUUUAUUACAGAAGGUCUCUUGUACUUUGUUGAAUGUAUAUUUUCUUGAAAGGAAGUGUGUUGUUAAAUGUCAAUCUAAGAAAUGUUGGCUGUUUACUUUUUGGUUAUCAUUGAAAAAUUAAGGUUUCUAAGAGUGAAGAAUCCUAAUAUAUUUUAAGGAAAAAAGAAAUAAAAGGUCUGUACAAGUUGCUGAAGGUGUGACAGAAAGAAAGAAUAUUAGAGUAGAAAUACUUAAUGGAAGGUCUGAGGCAUGGUUAUGCAUUUUUGAAGGACGUAGAAAGAAGGUUUGAAGGCUAAUUUGAAAGUGUGAAAUUUGUGAAGGUUGCAUAUGUGAUGAGAAGAAAACGAGAAAUGUUGAAAGAAAGAAAUAAGUUCUAAAGUUAACUAUUUACAAGAAAUAUAAAAGGGCCAGCUUACUCUGGUCAAGAAAGUGAGGCUUCAGUCUCUAAGCCUGGCAGGACAAGGUUGCUGGAUACUUCUUAAGCUAAACCAGAAUAUUCAGCAGCAGAAUUUAAAGAUAAGAGUGUGCAUAAUGCCUCAGACCACCAUCCAGCCUGCUCUUCAGAUUGGCUGAGGUGGCGGGGGGGUGGGGUCUGUACUUAAUGGGUCAAAUGUAUAGGUUUGCUUACUUUGCUUUUCAAUAAAGGAGCAUACUUUAAUUACUUGAUAAGUUAGCUUUUCACAAUAUAAUCAAGGUCUCAUAUAAAUUCAUUCAUGUGAGAAGCCAAUAUUUUAUGAGCAACUGGUUCUAGUAAAGUCCAAAGUAAAAUUUGCAUAUAUAUGCAAAUGAGCACUAGCCAAAAAAGAAUGCUAUUUAGAAGUAAAUUUAAGCUUAAAAAGAAGAAAAAAGAAAAAAAGAAGAAAUGUAGAAAUCUCUUCCACUACUAUUUACCAAGUAAAAUAAAAGUUAUUAUUGAAGCAUUAAAUCUCACCAUUAAUGAGACACCAUAAGUAAAAAGAAAGUUACUUUUACUUGAGAUGUAUGCAUUGUAGUAUUGGCCAACAUGUUUCUCUCCUACCUAUUUUCCUGGACAUCAACUAAGAUGGUUGCUCUGCUUGAAAGAAAGUAAAAGUCUUUAGUGCAGCAAUUUAAGGUUUAAAAGUAAAAACAGCAAGGAUUAAGGUUCAGUAAAAAUAAGAAGUUAAGCCAGUGAGUGGCAGAUUAUCACCUCAGGAAAUUUAAAGUGCCAAAUUUGGCUGGUCUGAGUGCAGUGUCUUACUUCUUAUCCAACCAUCCUGGCCCCUGGCCUCAACUGCUCCUUUCCUUCCUUUUCUGUUUUCCCUUGGAUAACAGCCCAUUCUAGCAUUACCUCCCACUUUCACUGCAAUAAAAUCUCAACCACUCAUCUGUCAGCCCUUAUUGGCAGUGCCAUGGUGACUACCCUCUCAGCUUGGAGUGCAGAACUAGAAAAAGGAACCUCCUACCCUUUAGUCCACCUCUUCCCCUUACAGCUAUCAGCUUGUCUCCAUGAUCAGGGAUUUUUCUUCCUCUGUGGGGAAAACACAUACAUCUGUCUCCCCAUCAGCUGGACAGGAAUCUGUACUCUCAUCUUUCACCCAAUAUAGAUAUAGCCCCCAAUAAUCAGUCUUUACCUGGCCCUGUAACCCAUCAUACCUGACACAAAAGAGGAGUCCAGAUAAUCCCUCUCCUCAUAACCCUGGGCAUCACAGCAGGGGUUGGAACUGCCAUCGGGACUUAACCACUGCUCUACCUAUUUUGAAACCCUGUCUCAGGACCUACAAGAAACCUGUGGAUGCCCAGCGAGGGGCACAACUGGGAAAACAAGAACCUCACCCCCAGGGUAACCUACUCUCCCCUUUCAUAUCACUAGUGAGGCAACGGAGACCCCUACUCUUUCCCCCCUAAAAAUAACAUCUAGAUCUCAGUUGUAUUUCAGCUCCAGGCCCAGAAAAGCAGCAAAAUUACGCAAGUGAUGCUGGGGCGGCCUCAGGACCAGCUUUUACCUCCCAAGUCACUCAACAGGACCACUUUCGAGACUUCACCAACCAGUCUCUUGGGAAAAUCAUGCUUCUGCAACCCUCAUCCAGCCCACUACUCUCAGAGUCCGUUCCCCUGUGAUCUUGAUGUCCCACCUCAGCAGGAAGCAAUUACAGAAGAUAUGACCUUCGUCCCUAUUCCAUAAACAAAAAGGCUGGAAUGUUAGAUUUGAUCGAGCAAUUGAAUUGAUACCCCUCCCCCUAGGAACUGGCUUUCCAGAUCAUUUCACUAUGGACAUUCCCUUUGCUCAGACCACAUUUCACUCGCAGUGACCACAUUUCAUUAUUUCCCCCUCCAGGUAUGCAUAAAGAGGUCUCCACCCAGAAAAAAUCCCGCCAAAAGUCCUUUAAAGGCCUCUGACUCCUGUCACUGGGUGCUGGAGCCAUUCAGGCUCAGCCACCUGGUGUGUGGAUGAUCGAAUAAAUUCGUAAUCCCUCGCCAUUCUGGCCUUGUGUGUUCCUCCUUCGGCGACCUAACAUCUAUGACUAAAGAGGGAGAAGGAUACCGAUUGUGAGCAAGUGAAUGAGAGAGAAACAGAGAGGAAGAGGCAGACUUCUGGGCCACUUUGUUUCCUGCUGAGUGUCUUGGUCACGAGCACCUGGAAGCCCCAGUGAGAGGCUCAGUGCAGAGCACUGCAGGGUCAGCAGCUGAUUUGGAACCUGGCGGGGCCACAUGACCACAGGCCUGUUAAAUGUAAGCCUGCAUUUACCAUCUGAAAACUGGUGACAAGUAAGUCAUGCAGUGAGCAGAUGGGUACAGAGGUCUGCUCGGUGCAGGCACAGUAUUAGUGUCGGGGUCAGAGAGAGGACCGAGUCGCUGUGCGGGACUAGGCCUGCUGCUGUGCUGGUAUCAGGCCCUGAGCAGGACAGCACAGUAGUCAGGACUUCACUCUGGGCCCAAACACAUCCUGGGUUCAAAUUCCAGCUCUGUCACAUUCUGCAGCGUGGUCCAGGUGAAUUGGGGCCAGUUACUAUAGCCUCUAAGUGCCUCAUUUUCCCAGCUGGAAAGCGGGGACCCUGCAAUUCCUAAACUCAUGGGGUAGUUGAGAUUAUUAAAAGGCUGGAUGCAUAUAAAGGGCUUGAGAACAGACACAGGACCUGAUAGGGGGGACCUAUACUCUGAUAGAGCACCUGAAUUAAUCUGAAAAAUAAUAUUAUUUUAAAUCUUAGAACACAUAUACUUAUGUGAAUAGGGGUUAAGUUUCUUAUAUGUGAAUAGGCGGUUAAGUUUUCCUUAAGUUUCCUUUUCAGGGCCUGUGCGAAGCGAUUAAGGAGGUGACUCAGCUGUGAAUCCAGCAAGCAGAACCACUAAGCAGAGUUAGACCCACCCACCAGGAGUCAAACAUCAACUCAUCAACAUCAUCUUAUAGCCUGUAACUGUUGACGAUAGCUGACGUCUUCGGACCUCCAUGACUGCAUGUAGCUGCAUUCCAUACCCCAGUCCACUCCCCUUUAUAAUCCUGUCCCUGAAUCUUUCUGGAA